rnacentral:tRNA from 1 species
GCGGGCAUAACACAAUGGUAGUGUCGUAGCCUUCCAAGCUACUUAUACGGGUUCGAUUCCCGUUGCCCGCUCCA